AGAAUGACAUCAAAGAUGCUGCUGCAGAGAAAAGACAACCAGGGCAAAGGAGACACACCAAGAGCCUUGGGGAGCCAGGAAGGGGUGGGACACCAGUGGGAAGGGGGCAGGGAACACAGCUCAGCUAACCUCCCUUCCCAUUCAUCUCCCUGGCCCUUUAGGGAAGGAAGCAGGCUCUGGCCCAGGGCUGCCUGCUCCAGGCACACAGAUGGAUUACCCAGUCAUGGCAGCCCGGAGCAGGGGUGGCUGCAUCUGUGCUGCCACCCCCCCACCCCACAACCUGAAGUCUUCCCAGCCCCCAGCCAGCUAUUCCUGGGGCUUUAAUCCCACCCACCUCCUUAGCCAGGAAACACAGGGAUGAGCAGUAGGACUCUGAGGGAGGUAUGGGGAAGCUCUAGGCGCCUCUCCUGCCCCUCACUGCCUCCCCAAGGA
rnacentral:lncRNA from 1 species